rnacentral:rRNA from 1 species
GCCCAAGAGAUCGGGAUAACACCUGGAAACAGAUGCUAAUACCGGAUAACAACAGAUGAUGCCUAUCAACUGUUUAAAAGAUGGUUCUGCUAUCACUCUUGGAUGGACCUGCGGUGCAUUAGCUAGUUGGUAGGGUAACGGCCUACCAAGGCGAUGAUGCAUAGCCGAGUUGAGAGACUGAUCGGCCACAUUGGGACUGAGACACGGCCCAAACUCCUACGGGAGGCAGCAGCG